rnacentral:tRNA from 2 species
UCCCGUUUAGCUCAGUUGGUAGAGCGCGUCACUAGUAUUCUAUGCUAUGACGAGGUCAGUCGUUCGAGUCGGCUAAUGGGAA